GGAGAGAUGGCUCAGUGGUUAGAAGCACUGACUGCUCUUCCAGAGGUCCUGAGUUCAAUUCCCAGCAACCACA
rnacentral:tRNA from 1 species